rnacentral:lncRNA from 1 species
GUUUUCUCAUGGCACGGCUCAAUUAUUGUUUUGAGUGAAGAUAUUGGAUUUAAGAUGUCAGAAGUUAAGUCGAUGGCAACUGGUCUAUGUGGUCAUUGUGGCAAGGUUGCACGGCAGAUUGCAAGGGUAUCCGAGUACGCAUACGCACGUGCCACAAUCCCUUCCCGGGCCCGAAUGGAAGACCGUGUAGUAGCCAUGGAUCUGAAACUGAAACAUGUGACUCGACAAACUGCAACAUAGCGUGUAAGCGAUCUUUUAAGGGUAGCGGGGUGGGGGAGGGGGAGAGGGGGGUGGUAUUUUUUUCUAAAAGGAUAGCGUUAUGUACUAUGAAGGUCAACGUUCAAAGGAUAGUGUAGAUGGUUCAAAGUUUAAAGGAUAAUGUAAGAUGAACAAGCCUGCGAAUGCGGAGUGCGGAGGGAAUUGUGGCAAAAUACAUAAGAAAGAGGAACUACUUUUAAUCAUACGCUGAAGUUGAUAACUGCAUAUAUCUUAUUCCAAUUUUACUUGAUGGAUGACGCACGUGUUGCACUGAAAAUUCACGUUGACCUACUUGCAGCGCAAAUGAAAUAAUUUUUAAAUUUAUGAAACACGCUGAAUCUGUCACUUGCUACGGUACAUACAGGAAGAUCUGGCUAGGUUGUAAUUGUUUAAUAAUUUUGAAUUCUAGUCGGAUCGUCCUUCCAGUAUCUUCACCUUUACUUUACUGUGAAACGUAAACAUUUCAAAUAAUAAAAAAAAAAAAACACAGACCAAAAAUACGGGGCGACUUUCUUCGGCCACAAUACUCUUACAGCGGAGGACUUCCUUGGCCUAGCAGCUAUAGGUCGCUGACUAGGAAGCAUUUGCUCUUAACUGCUAAGAGUUCGAAACUUUAUUAGUGAUACUAUCCAGCUGGAUUGAGCAAGGUCCGUGGUUCUACCCAGACGUCUUCCUAUUCCUGAAAUUAUGACAGAAUUGGCACUUUGAGCCUUCCUCUAUUAUCAAAAGCUGAAAAAUGAUGUCUUACUUCCCUAGAAAGUACACAUAUAUUGUAUUUUUUAUAUUUAUGAAAUAUUGUAACGAGAUAUCUGUGGAUUCGAGUCCUUAAUGCUGGAGAGAAACCCAAAUAAUCUCCCGUGUGCUAUUUCAUGCUAAUGGAUAGCAUUACUAGACCUGGCGCAAAUCAGCUGACCGGUUUCCUAAAAAUGAAUGACGACUAAAUGGGGGCUCGGACCCAUAGGUAGUGAUAAUAAUGCAUUUAUUAAUCUGUCUGGUUAGCUGGUAAGCUCUUUUGAUCAGUAUGCUUUGAACAUUUUAGUCAACCUUGUUAUUGACACAACUCUCAAAAUAAUAUGUUCUUCUUUUGUAGGUACUGGAUCACAAGUCACUAUUGGAUAAGCCUAUGGAUGGACAUACUCGGGCGUAGCUGAUUUCAUUAUGAAAUGUUAGGAUUUUUACCAUGAAUCAGAUGAAAUGUAUAACAGUGAUUUUCUUCGUAAUAAUCAACGAUCAAUCUAUUUUUACAAUGAUUAAUCGACGUGAAAUGCAAAACACCGGACGACUAAUCCAUGAAUCGCCUUUAUUUUGUAAGGAGAAAUACAUAGUGAUCAUAAAAUGCUGUUCAUUUAAUUGUAAAUAAAAAAAACAUCUGUA